CUCAUGUACCCCAUCUCCGCAGAGCGAGGGGGGCAUGCGGGGCCAGGGCUCAUCAAGAGACGGACGGAGCUGCUGGCAGAUGCUGUUGCUGUGUCUGAAGGAGCUUUCAUUCAGACUGCAAAAAGAAUUCUGAAAAAAAGUUGGCAAGAGAAGAACAGAAGAAAUCAAUGCAUGUGUGAGCUAGCGAGAGAGGCUAUGGGCUGUAAAGGGCGAAUCCUGGGCCCACCGAAGUCAACUGGAGAUUUGCUAUGCAUUUCCUGGGAAUCAAGAGCUGAUCUUUGUAAUGAAUGCAAUGUAUGUACAAUUUAUCUUAGACUGGAUUUGUUUUCAAUAACUGAUUUGGACGCUCUCUGUACCUUCAGUUAUUUGGUAAUCUUGUUUGCAUGCACCAUUUGUAUAGUGUUAUCAUAAAAAAGCACCAUGUUAAAGGAGAGUUCUCUCUCAUACUUAUUUUCUAUUUACAUAAUGAUUUGUAAAAUGUUUAUUUUGGAGAUCUAAAUUAAAGUUGACAGCAUCCCCCUAAAUCAACAGAAAAUGUAGGUUUUUAGCCUUCAAAAUGAAAGUUAUUUAUCUAGCCAGAUCAACUCUGAGGCUGACAUUCCAUUAUCUAGAUUGAUAAAAACGUGAAAAA